GACGAACGCUGGCGGCGUGCUUAACACAUGCAAGUCGAACGGAAAGGCCCUGCUUUUGUGGGGUGCUCGAGUGGCGAACGGGUGAGUAACACGUGAGUAACCUGCCCUUGCCUUUGGGAUACCUUCAGGAAACUGGGGCUAAUCCCGGAUAGGAGCUCCUGCUCCUUGGUGGGGGUGGGAAAGUUUCGGCGGUUGGGGAUGGACUCGCGGCUUUUCAGCUUGUUGGUGGGGUAGUGGCUUACCAAGGCUUUGACGGGUAGCCGGCCUGAGAGGGUGACCGGCCACAUUGGGACUGAGAUACGGCCCAGACUCCUACGGGAGGCAGCAGUGGGGAAUAUUGCACAAUGGGCGGAAGCCUGAUGCAGCAACGCCGCGUGCGGGAUGACGGCCUUCGGGUUGUAAACCGCUUUCGCCUGUGACGAAGCGUGAGUGACGGUAAUGGGUAAAGAAGCACCGGCUAACUACGUG
rnacentral:rRNA from 1 species